AUGAUUGAUAUGUUAAAGGAGUGUGGAUUAUCUCACAAAUCAAUAAUUUUUGUCUUGGAUGAGUUUGAUCUUUUUGCUCAGGGGAAACAACGUUUACUUUAUAGUUUGCUUGAUGUAAUGCAAAC